rnacentral:rRNA from 1 species
GACGAACGCUGGCGGCGUGCUUAACACAUGCAAGUCGAACGAAGUGGCGAACGGGUGAGUAACGCGUAAUCAACCUGCCCUUCAGAGGGGGACAACAGUUGGACACGACUGCUAAUACCGCAUACUGUAGGAGGAGAUUGCGUCUGAUUAGCUAGUUGGAGGGGUAACGGCCCACCAAGGCGAUGAUCAGUAUGCGGUCGUAGAGGAUGAACGGCCACAUUGGGACUGAGACAAGGCCCAGACCCCUACGGGAGGCAGCAGGUGGGAAGCUUCCGCAAUGGACGGAAGUCUGACGGAGCAACGCCGCGUGAGUUAUGACGGCCUUCGGGUUGUAAAGCUCUGUUAAUCGGGACGCGGUACCGGAAUAGAAAGCCACGGCUAACUACGUGCCAGCAGCCGCGGUAAUAC